GACGAACGCUGGCGGCGUGCUUAACACAUGCAAGUCGAACGGAAAGGCCCUGCUUUUGUGGGGUGCUCGAGUGGCGAACGGGUGAGUAACACGUGAGUAACCUGCCCUUGACUUUGGGAUAACUUCAGGAAACUGGGGCUAAUACCGGAUAGGAGCUCCUGCUGCAUGGUGGGGGUUGGAAAGUUUCGGCGGUUGGGGAUGGACUCGCGGCUUAUCAGCUUGUUGGUGGGGUAGUGGCUUACCAAGGCUUUGACGGGUAGCCGGCCUGAGAGGGUGACCGGCCAAAAUGGGAAUGGGAGAAGGCCCAGACUCCUACGGGAGGGAGGAGGGGGGAAUAUUGGAAAAUGGGCGGAAGGCUGAAGCAGCAACGGCGGGGGGGGGAAGACGGCCUUCGGGGUGGAAAACGGUUUCGCCUGGGAAGAAGGGGGGGGGAAGGGAAUGGGUAAAGAAGCAACGGCUAAAUAAGG
rnacentral:rRNA from 1 species